AAUGAACGCUGGCGGCAUGCCUAACAUAUGCAAGUCGAACGAAGGCUUCGGCCUUAGUGGCGCACGGGUGCGUAACGCGUGGGAAUCUGCCCUUGGGUUCGGAAUAACAGUUAGAAAUGACUGCUAAUACCGGAUGAUGUCGUAAGACCAAAGAUUUAUCGCCCAAGGAUGAGCCCGCGUAGGAUUAGCUAGUUGGUGGGGUAAAGGCCUACCAAGGCGACGAUCCUUAGCUGGUCUGAGAGGAUGAUCAGCCACACUGGGACUGAGACACGGCCCAGACUCCUACGGGAGGCAGCAGUGGGGAAUAUUGGACAAUGGGCGAAAGCCUGAUCCAGCAAUGCCGCGUGAGUGAUGAAGGCCUUAGGGUUGUAAAGCUCUUUUACCCGGGAUGAUAAUGACAGUACCGGGAGAAUAAGCUCCGGCUAACUUCGUG
rnacentral:rRNA from 1 species